rnacentral:rRNA from 1 species
GACGAACGCUGGCGGCGUGCUUAACACAUGCAAGUCGAACGAAGAGCGAUGGAAGCUUGCUUCUAUCAAUCUUAGUGGCGAACGGGUGAGUAACGCGUAAUCAACCUGCCCUUCAGAGGGGGACAACAGUUGGAAACGACUGCUAAUACCGCAUACGAUCUAAUCUCGGCAUCGAGGAAAGAUGAAAGGUGGCCUCUAUUUAUAAGCUAUCACUGAAGGAGGGGAUUGCGUCUGAUUAGCUAGUUGGAGGGGUAACGGCCCACCAAGGCGAUGAUCAGUAGCCGGUCUGAGAGGAUGAACGGCCACAUUGGGACUGAGACACGGCCCAGACUCCUACGGGAGGCAGCAGUGGGGAAUCUUCCGCAAUGGACGAAAGUCUGACGGAGCAACGCCGCGUGAGUGAUGACGGCCUUCGGGUUGUAAAGCUCUGUUAAUCGGGACGAAAGGCCUUCUUGCGAACAGUUAGAAGGAUUGACGGUACCGGAAUAGAAAGCCACGGCUAACUAUGUG